UCUAGGCUCAGAACUGGCACCUCACCACUGCCUCUGUUACAAGGCGAACUCCAAUUACAGGAGUGCUCUCAUUGUGAGGAGCUGAAAACUUGCAUUGCCACGGGGCAGCGAUCCAGGAAGAAGAACUGAGGCCAUUUCUACAAUCCACUACAGAUACGCCUCUUAAGAAAGAAGACAGAAGAAGAAUAGCAGCCCGAGUUCAUGUGUGGCAGCCCCGUGGUGGAAAUUCCCAGCCAUUACACAGCACACUGGAGGGGGAACGUGGAGAGCAAGGAACGCUUUAUGGGACUUAUUGUUGCUAUUUACAAAUAGGCCAAACGUGAAGAAAGAAG